UCAUUGGAGAGUUUGAUCCUGGCUCAGGACGAACGCUGGCGGCGUGCUUAACACAUGCAAGUCGAACGGUAAGGCCCUUUCGGGGGUACACGAGUGGCGAACGGGUGAGUAACACGUGAGUAACCUGCCCAUCACUUCGGGAUAACGCUAGGAAACUGGUGCUAAUACCGGAUAUGAGCUCUCAUCGCAUGGUGGGGGUUGGAAAGUUCUGGCGGUGGUGGAUGGACUCGCGUCCUAUCAGCUUGUUGGUGAGGUUGUGGCUCACCAAGGCGUCGACGGGUAGCCGGCCUGAGAGGGUGACCGGCCACAUUGGGACUGAGAUACGGCCC
rnacentral:rRNA from 1 species